rnacentral:tRNA from 1 species
GGGGAUUUAGCUUAGUGGCACAGUGCCUGCCUGGCAAGCACAAGGUCCUGAGUUCGAUCCCCAGAACCA